AAAAGCCAAGAAUCACUGCUGACAAGCAGGGUCGGUACUUGGAUGGUUAGUACUUGGAUGAGAGACCACCCGGGAAAACUGGGUGCUAUAGGCUUUUU
rnacentral:rRNA from 1 species